UACGGCCAUAUCACAUUAAAGCACUUGUUCUCGUCCGACCACCGAAGUUAAGCAACGUCGAUCCUGGUCAGUAACUAGAUGGGUGACCGCUUGGGCAUACCAGAUGCUGUGA